UGGGAACAAAACGACAAUCCAAUUGGUAAUUCAAUGGAAUCAAAGUUACUUCAAAAUUCAUCGAUGGACAGAUACACUUUUAAAAAUGUCCAUCACUAUGGUAAUCAGGAUGGAAAUGAACACAACACAGUUUUUGAUGGAAGGAUGAAACAAACGCAAAAAAGGACAAAAUGAUGGCGGGCAAGAUGAAGACUUAGAUACUGCGAGAUCAAUAGAUCAAGGCGGAGCCUCUUUCGAUUCAAUUUUAAGGGUCCAACAAAAAUGGUUGAGAGUUAGUUAGUAAGACAGAGAAAGUGGAGAAAUCAAAGAAAAGGCAAAAAGAGAGUGUGAGGGAAAGAAGGAGAAACGAGAGAAAGAGGAAGAUGCAGAUAGGCUAGAGAAAGGGUUACAAAGAAACAAAGAAAAUUCAUUAUUUUUUCACUGUUACUUUUACAUUUCGAUUUGUGUGUAAACGAUUUUUUAGGUUUGCAAACAAAAGUCAACUCGUUUUUUCUACUUCUCAGAGAAUCUCAUUAGUAACUAUUAUCUGAAUCGUGAUCCUCAUCUUUUGUCUUCUAGAUCGUAAUAUAUUUCACCUUCUUCAUCAUCAACAAUAACAAAAACAGUGUAAAAAUACGCCAUUACAUUCACCAAAACCAGUGUAAUAACAAAGUAUCUAAUUGAGUAACAUCAUGAUACAGUGUUUACCAUUUUGAAAAGUGUAUCUGUCCAUCGAUCAAUUGUGAACGUUGAAUUAACAUUUGGAUUGUCUUUUCUCAUGAUCUUGUGGUCUUUAGUUUCGCUUUUUCUUGGUUCUCAUUCGAUUCCAUGAUUGUUGUUAACAUCUAAUCAUCAUCGGUUAACCAUUUGGACUGUGGAUGCGAAAAGGUCAACUAAUUGCUGUUUAAAUAAUCCUGUGGAUCGCAUACACUUACUUAAUUAAUUGGUAGCAACAUUGUUUUCCACUGCUGUCAUUUUCAUCUUAUCUACCCUUCCUUAUUGAAUCACUUGGGUUUUAUACAUUUAUUGGAAUCGCGAUUGAAAACAUUUGAUUGGAUCUUGAAUGCUUCAUGAAAUCAUGAUGGACUUUAUGAAAGACGGUUCUCUCAGUGUAUCUCAUGAACCUGAUUCCUCAAUCAAUUUAUUUGGCUCAAUUGGUUUACCAGUUCCAUCAACAAGUCAUUCCUCAGCCAAUCAUCAUUGUUCAGUCAAUAAUGACUCACGAGGGAAGUACCCGAGGUCAUCCGAAUAAAAUUUAAUAAUUUUAUCAGAAACCAAUUAGGUUUUAUGAGUGUUUAAUUGUCUCGAAAUCUCCCGGGUAGCAAAUUAAAGAUUAACGAGAAAAACGGAAUUAAAAUUCAAUUUUUUACAUGUAAAGUAUGGUAAAGAGCAUACAAAAUAAAAUGAAAGAAACAAAAAGCCUCAUCGCAAUGGGUUCAUAUUAUUGCUUUCACAUUGAUCUAUGCAUAGCGAUAGACAAUAAAUGGCGCUUUUCGACCCUUCUGUCCAUUUGCUACUCAAAAGAAGACGAACUAUAUUGUUUUUCAAUAAGACGAAUUCAAUGACACACUAAUCAUUGAAAUCGGUUCGGAUGACCUCGGGUACCCCCCUUGUCAGUAAAUAACAAUAACACAAAUAAUGGCAACAACAGCAGCAAUAAUGAAAAUAAUAGUAAUAAUAAUAACCGUAGCAAUGGUAAUAACUCGAAUGUAAAUGGGCAAUCCAAUGGUCAUCAUCACAAUAAUCAUCAUCAUCAUAAUCCACAUCAUUAUGACAAUGGAAUCAACCAUGAUAGAGUUGCAGCCUCUAUGGCACUGUCAUCACCUUCAAUUAACAGUCUAUCAACGGUCCACUCCAAAUCAUGUGUUCAACUUCAAUACGCUAGUAGCCAGUCUUAAGUUAACAAAAAAGGUUCAGAUUUAAGAUAACUUUUAGGUAUCGCCAUCUUAAAUAUAUACAAUUUUCAGAGACACUUAACAAUAUAAACUGUGCAAAAUUAAAUUUAUAUACCGAAGCUAGUCGAUGGAUGGAAGUCACUGGCUUGAAGGUGAAUAAGUGACUGGCUGCGACUGAGCUUGUACAGUCGGCACAGCCAAAUUCAACUAUUUCGACUGGCUAGCCAAUCAAAUUUAUCAAUAUCAAUAGUCUUAAUCUUCAUAAAAUCUGUCAAAAUGAAAUAUUUCAACCGUUCAUAGCUUUAGAACGAGUUAAGUUGAAGAAAUGAAACAUACUAUUAGAGAAUGGUAAAUCAGUUCUCAGGAAAAAAAACAUUAAU